CCGGACCUGACUGCUAUCGGAUUGGUACUAAGCCAUGCGAGUCAUUGUAGCAAUACAAGGCGGACGGCUCAGUAACACGUAGUCAACCUAACCUAUGGACGUGGAUAACCUCGGGAAACUGAGAAUAAACCACGAUAGAUCAUGAUGCCUGGAAUGGCUUAUGGUUCAAACAAUUUAUUGCCGUAGGAUGGGACUGCGGCCUAUCAGCUUGUUGGUGAGGUAAUGGCCCACCAAGGCUAUAACAGGUACGGGCUCUGAGAGGAGAAGCCCGGAGAUGGGUACUGAGACACGGACCCAGGCCCUAUGGGGCGCAGCAGGCGAGAAACCUUAGCAAUGUGCGAAAGCACGACUAGGUUAAUCCGAGUGGUUCCUGCUAAAGGAACCUUUUGUCAGUCGUAAAACCACAGACGAAUAAGGGGUGGGCAAGUCUGGUGUCAGCCGCCGCGGUAAUACCAGCACCUCGAGUGGUCAGGAGGUUUAUUGGGCCUAAAGCAUCCGUAGCCGGCUACGCAAGUCUUCGGUUAAAUCCAACUGCUCAACAGAUGGGCUGCCGGAGAUACUACAUAGCUAGGGAGCGGGAGAGGCAGACGGUAUUCUGUGGGUAGGGGUAAGAUCCACUGAUCCAUAGAGGACCACCAGUGGCGAAGGCGGUCUGCCAGAACGCGUUCGACGGUGAGGGAUGAAAGCUGGGGGAGCAAACCGGAUUAGAUACCCGGGUAGUCCCAGCUGUAAACGAUGCAACUCGGUGAUGCGUUGGCUUAUGGCCAACGCAGUGCCGCAGGGAAGCCGUUAAGUUUGCCGCCUGGGAAGUACGGACGCAAGUCUGAAACUUAAAGGAAUUGGCGGGGGAGCA
rnacentral:rRNA from 1 species